rnacentral:rRNA from 1 species
GACGAAUGCUGGCGGCGUGCUUAACACAUGCAAGUCGAACGAUGAAGCCGGAGCUUGCUCCGGUGGAUUAGUGGCGAACGGGUGAGUAACACGUGAGCAAUCUGCCCUUGACUCUGGGAUAACUGCGGGAAACUGUAGCUAAUACCGGAUACGACCCUCGGCGGCAUCGCCAGGGGGUGGAAAGAAUUUCGGUCAAGGAUGGACUCGCGGCCUAUCAGCUAGUUGGUGAGGUAACGGCUCACCAAGGCGACGACGGGUAGCCGGCCUGAGAGGGUGACCGGCCACACUGGGACUGAGACACGGCCCAGACUCCUACGGGAGGCAGCAGUGGGGAAUAUUGCACAAUGGGCGCAAGCCUGAUGCAGCAACGCCGCGUGAGGGAUGACGGCCUUCGGGUUGUAAACCUCUUUUAGUAGGGAAGAAGCGAAAGUGACGGUACCUGCAGAAAAAGCACCGGCUAACUACGUGCUAGCCGCCGCGGUAA